rnacentral:rRNA from 1 species
GAUGAACGCUGGUGGCGUGCUUAACACAUGCAAGUCGAACGAGAAGUGGAGACGGACACCUUCGGGCGGAAGACUUUAUUUCGAGUGGCGGACGGGUGAGUAACGCGUGGGUAACCUGCCUCAUACAGGGGGAUAACAGUUGGAAACGACUGUUAAUACCGCAUAAGACCACCGCACCGCAUGGUGCGGGGGUAAAAACUCCGGUGGUAUGAGAUGGACCCGCGUUCGAUUAGCCAGUUGGCGGGGUAACGGCCCACCAAAGCGACGAUCGAUAGCCGAUCUGAGAGGAUGACCGGCCACAUUGGGACUGAGACACGGCCCAAACUCCUACGGGAGGCAGCAGUGGGGAAUAUUGCACAAUGGGGGAAACCCUGAUGCAGCGACGCCGCGUGAGUGAAGAAGUAUUUCGGUAUGUAAAGCUCUAUCAGCAGGGAAGAAAAUGACGGUACCUGAGGAAGAAGCCCCGGCUAACUACGUG